rfam:Octopus bimaculoides Scaffold123738_contig_3, whole genome shotgun sequence.
AAGCGCGUGGCUUAGUGGUUAGGGCAUUCGGCUCACGAUCGUAAAGUCGUGAAUUCGAUUCCCGUUGUCCUUG